AUUGAACGCUGGCGGCAGGCCUAACACAUGCAAGUCGAACGAGUGGCGGACGGGUGAGCAAUGUCUGGGAAACUGCGCGAUGGAGGGGGAUAACUACUGGAAACGGUAGCUAAUACCGCAUACCAUCCUAUGUGCCCAGAUGGGAUUAGCUAGUCGGUGGGGUAACGGCUCACCUAGGCGACGAUCCCUAGCUGGUCUGAGAGGGUGACCAGCCACACUGGGACUGAGACACGGCCCAGACUCCUACGGGAGGCAGAAGUGGGGAAUAUUGCACAAUGGGCGCAAGCCUGAUGCAGCCAUGCCGCGUGUAUGAAGAAGGCCUUCGGGUUGUAAAGUACUUUCAGCGGGGAGGCGUUACCCGAAGAAGAAGCACCGGCUAACUCCGUGCCAGCAGCCGCGGUAAUUC
rnacentral:rRNA from 1 species